rnacentral:lncRNA from 1 species
AUGGUUUGUGUGGUCUUUUUUAAACCUCCAGUGAACCUGACUGAUACUUCACUAAGGGCAAGCUUUCAACCUCUAAUUACGCAGUUUGAGAAAGAAAUUGUUCACUUUCACAAAUCACAGCUCAGUUCUUGCAUUGAGCAACUGUUUGGAAAGGAAAAACAUUCAUGGGAUGUCUUCUGUCAGACCACAGUGCUAGAGAUUCAAGAGAAUCACCAAGAAAAAUGAAGUCAUUGUUAGCUGAUUUCAUACCUAUGCAGUCCGGCCUGGAAGUCCUGCCACCAACGACGUGUGCUACGCGAACAAAAUCUGGGAUUAAUUAAGUGAGAGUGAACUGCUAACCCAUUUGAACUGUCAUGUUGAAGGUCUGGCACAAAGGAUCCAGGAGUUUACAAAGACUAAUCACCAUCGCAGGGUCCUGUGGGCUACUCUUCACACAAGUGCCUCUGUAGUUAAAUGAGGCUUCAAAGUGACUGUUGCACACUGAGAACAACAAAGACAGAGACAAGGAGAUGUUCAUUGGACAUUGAUUUGCUUUUGUUCAAAGACAAUGCUUUGCUCUCUUUAUAAAAGCAAAAAUGAUCUUAGCUUUAAUGUCAUCUGUCUAAUCACAGCUUCACAGCCACUGACAUCCAGUGAGAAUAUAAACUAUACAGGACAGAUUGUUGACUCCUUGUUUAGGAAAGCUAACCAUUCCUAUUUUAAAGUCCCAUUUAUAAUUGUUUUAGACUCCACAAGAGAUUAAUAUCUGGGGUUAUUUUUUCAUGCAGCAUGUCUGCUAUCUGCUUAUUAUAGUGUCAGAAUUUUGAAAGUCACUUAAAUCACCUGGAGAUCUCAGCAGUAAAAUGAGCUCAAUAUAAUGACCAAAAGGAAAUUUCCUGUAAUUUUGUAGUUUGAGCAGUUGCAGCGUAGACUUGGGCGUAGACACUGAACCACUGAAGCAGGGUUCAUGCUGCAAGGUAUACUUAAGAUUACAGGGUUUUUGCAUGGUCUACAAAUGCUAUCAGUUUUCUGGGGACUCGUUUUGGGCUCUGAACUAAUAAUUCUAACCUUGCUGGUGUCCUGUGCAUGUGUCAUGUGAUGAGAAAUGAUAUAGUUUCUGAAGGAAUUUUUUUUUUUAGUUUUGUUUUGUGAGCUCUUCAGAAGUUACACAUUAUCAAAGAAAAAGUAUUGUUUACAAUAAGACUAUUGUAAGGUGGUGAAGUCAAAUACACCAAAUAUCCACUCU